CGGCGGACGGGUGAGUAACGCGUGGGUAACCUACCCUGUACACACGGAUAACAUACCGAAAGGUAUGCUAAUACGGGAUAAUAUAUUUGAGAGGCAUCUCUUAAAUAUCAAAGGUGAGCCAGUACAGGAUGGACCCGCGUCUGAUUAGCUAGUUGGUAAGGUAACGGCUUACCAAGGCGACGAUCAGUAGCCGACCUGAGAGGGUGAUCAGCCACAUUGGAACUGAGACACGGUCCAA
rnacentral:rRNA from 1 species